CGCAUUCGCCCUUCGGGGUGCACCAGGCGCGAAAACUUUACAAUGCUGGAAACAGCGAUCGGGGGACUUUGAGUGCCAGGAUACAAUCUUGGCUGUCGUAAUGCCUAAAAAGCAUUGCAUAGCAAGGGCCGGGCAAUACCGGUGCCAACCGCCGCGGUAACACCGGCGGCUCGAGUGGUAACCGCUAUUAUUGGGUCUAAAGGGUCUGUAGCCGGCUGGAUAAUUCUCUUGGGAAAUCCGACAGCUUAACUGUCAGGCUUUCAGGAGAUACUGUCCGGCUCGAGACCGGGAGAGGUGAGAGGUACUUCAUGGGUAGGGGUGAAAUCUUGUAAUCCUUGAAGGACCACCAGUGGCGAAGGCGUCUCACCAGAACGGAUCUGACGGCAAGGGACGAAAGCUAGGGGCACGAACCGGAUUAGAUACCCGGGUAGUCCUAGCCGUAAACGAUACUCGCUAGGUGUCAGCCACUGUGCAACCGUGGUUGGUGCCGUAAGGAAACCGUGAAGCGAGCCACCUGGGAAGUACGGCCGCAAGGCUGAAACUUAAAGGAAUUGGCGGGGGAGCAC
rnacentral:rRNA from 1 species